rnacentral:sRNA from 1 species
GCCAGGCGUGGUGGCGGGCGCCUGUAGUCCCAGCUACUCGGGAGGCUGAGGCAGGAGAAUGGUGUGAACCCAGGAGGUGGAGGUUGCAGUGAGCAGAGAUCAGGCCACUGCACUCCACCCUGGGCAACAGAGCGAGCCUCCAUCUCAAAAAAAAAAAAAAAAAAAAAAAUUAAAGAAAAGAACAAAUCUUUGUUGUUGUUGUUGUUGUUUUUGUGAGGGAGUCUUGCUCUGUCACCCAGGCUGGAGUGCAGUGGCGCAAUCUCGGCUCACUGCAACCUCUGCCUCCUGGGUUCAAGUGAUUCUCCUGCCUCCC